rnacentral:rRNA from 1 species
GACUACUAGUGUAUCUAAUCCUGUUUGAUACCCACACUUUCGAGCCUCAGUGUCAGUUGCAGUCCAGUGAGCUGCCUUCGCAAUCGGAGUUCUUCGUGAUAUCUAAGCAUUUCACCGCUACACCACGAAUUCCGCCCACCUCUACUGUACUCAAGACUGCCAGUUUCAACUGCAAUUUUACGGUUGAGCCGCAAACUUUCACAACUGACUUAACAAUCCACCUACGCUCCUUUUAAACCCAAUAAAUCCGGAUAACGCUCGGAUCCUCCGUAUUACCGCGGCUGCUGGCACGGAGUUAGCCGAUCCUUAUUCAUAAAGUACAUACAAAAAGGCACACGUGCCUCACUUUAUUCCUUUAUAAAAGAAGUUUACAACCCGUAGGGCAGUCAUCCUUCACGCUACUUGGCUGGUUCAGGCUCGCGCCCAUUGACCAAUAUUCCUCACUGCUGCCACCCGUAGG